CGUUAGUGUUCGCUGUUCGCGUAGUGCUUGCGCGCGUUCUUAACUUUUAUUUCUCGUAAUUAUCUUUUUAUUCGUAAAAUCAAGUGUCAGCAUUAGUUAUAAAGUGCAGAAGUCGCGAUGAUCGUUCGCCAAUAAAUUAAAGGUGAGUGUCUGCCUAAGUGUGCCUUUUAUCGGACCGAGUAUUGUCACAUGUGCAAUGCCACGACGGUAACACUUUAUACGCUUGAUUACUGGGCCAUGCAGCCAAAUGAGGGGUCCUGUGGAACUGCUCGAAGUAGAUUUGAGGAAGUUCGUGUUCCACGGUUUACUUCGGCGACAUAGGUACGGGAUCGGGGGUGGGAGAAGUAACCGCCGCCUC